GUAGAUCUCCCACCCUUUGUAUACUAUACCUUUGUUGCUUUGGCGGGCCGCCUAGCUACUGGCUUCGGCUGGUAAGUGCCCGCCAGAGGACCCAAAACCCUGAAUUAUUAGUGUCGUCUGAGUAAAAAGUUAAUAUUUAAAACUUUCAACAACGGAUCUCUUGGCUCUGGCAUCGAUGAAGAACGCAGCGAAAUGCGAUAAGUAAUGUGAAUUGCAGAAUUCAGUGAAUCAUCGAAUCUUUGAACGCACAUUGCGCCCCUUGGUAUUCCGAGGGGCAUGCCUAUUCGAGCGUCAUUAUCACCCCUCAAGCGCUUCGGUGCUUGGUCUUGAGGCCUGCCGCAACGGCAGCCUCUAAAAUCAGUGGCAGUGCCGUCAGGCUCUAAGCGUAGUAAUUUCUCUCGCUAUGGAAACCUGGUGGCCACUCGUCAGAACCCCCCCAUUUUUUAAUGAUUGACCUCGGAUUAGGUAGGGAUACCCGCUGAACUUAAGCAUAUCAAUAAGCGGAGGAAAAGAAACCAACAGGGAUUGCCUCAGUAACGGCGAGUGAAGCGGCAAAAGCUCAAAUUUGAAAUCUGGCUCUUUUAGGGUCCGAGUUGUAAUUUGUAGAAGAUGUUUCGGGUGUGGCUCCGGUUUAAGUUCUUUGGAAUAUUACAUCAUAGAGGGUGAGAAUCCCGUAUGUGACCGGCAGCCUUCGCCUAUGUGAAACUC
rnacentral:rRNA from 1 species